rnacentral:rRNA from 1 species
GUCGUAGGUGAACCUGCGGAAGGAUCAUUACCGAGUGCGGGUUCCAACGAGCCCAACCUCCCACCCGUGUUUACCAUGACCGCGUUGCCUCGGCGGGCCCACUGGGGCCUGGCCCCGGUCGCCGGGGGGCUUCUGCCCCCGGGUCCGCGCCCGCCGAAGCGCCCUGGAACCCUGUCUGAAUAGUGAGUCUGAGUCUAUGAUUAAAUCAUUAAAACUUUCAACAACGGAUCUCUUGGUUCCGGCAUCGAUGAAGAACGCAGCGAAAUGCGAUAAGUAAUGUGAAUUGCAGAAUUCCGUGAAUCAUCGAAUCUUUGAACGCACAUUGCGCCCCCUGGCAUUCCGGGGGGCAUGCCUGUCCGAGCGUCAUUUCUGCCCUCCAGCCCGGCUGGGUGUUGGGUGUUGUCCCCCCGGGGACACGCCCCAAAGGCAGUGGCGGCGCCGCGUCGGGUCCUCGAGCGUAUGGGGCUUUGUCACCCGCUCGGGACGGACUCGUCGGCGCUGGUCUUCCUCCAGGCGACCCUUCGGGGCCCGUCUACCUUCGGUUGACCUCGGAUCAGGUAGGGUUACCCGCUGAACUUAAGCAUAUC